GAUCAUGGCUCAGGACGAACGCUGGCGGCGUGCCUAACACAUGCAAGUCGAACGGAACUGUUUUGAAAGAUUUCUUCGGAAUGAAUUUGAUUUAGUUUAGUGGCGGACGGGUGAGUAACGCGUGAGUAACCUGCCUUCAAGAGGGGGGAUAACAUUCUGAAAAGAAUGCUAAUACCGCAUGAUAUAUCGGAACCACAUGGUUUUGAUAUCAAAGGUUUUAUCGCUUGAAGAUGGACUCGCGUCCGAUUAG
rnacentral:rRNA from 1 species